rnacentral:rRNA from 1 species
GGCUUCCAUCGAUGUCGACAGAGUUUGAUCCUGGCUCAGAAUCAACGCUGGCGGCGCGCUUAACACAUGCAAGUCGAACGAGAAAGGGGAGCAAUCCCUGAGUACAGUGGCGUACGGGUGAGUAACACGUGGGUAAUCUACCCUUUGGUGGGGAAUAACCCCGGGAAACUGGGGCUAAUACCGCAUAACUACGAGAGGAGAAAGCAGCAAUGCGCCGGAGGAGGAGCCCGCGGCCGAUUAGCUAGUUGGUGAGGUAAAAGCCCACCAAGGCAAAGAUCGGUAGCCGGCCUGAGAGGGCACACGGCCACACUGGCACUGAAACACGGGCCAGACUCCUACGGGAGGCAGCAGUGGGGAAUCUUGCACAAUGGGGGAAACCCUGAUGCAGCGACGCCGCGUGAGCGAUGAAGCCCUUCGGGGUGUAAAGCUCUUUCGGCAGGGAAGAUAGUGACGGUACCUGCAGAAGCAGCUGCCGCUAACUACGU